rnacentral:rRNA from 1 species
GGGGACCCGCACAAUCGGUGGAGCAUGUGGUUUAAUUCGAUGCAACGCGAAGAACCUUACCUGGGCUAGACAUCCUGCGAACUUUCAAGAGAUAGAUUGGUGCCUUCGGGAACGCAGUGACAGGUGCUGCACGGCUGUCGUCAGCUCGUGUUGUGAAAUGUUUGGUUAAGUCCCGCAACGAGCGCAACCCCUAUUGAUAGUUACCAUCAUUAAGUUGGGUACUCUAUUAAGAC